rnacentral:misc_RNA from 1 species
AUAUAACUGGUAAACGCGUUGUUAUGCAAGUAUUCUUCUGACAUUAAACUUUUUCAUUUUCAUUGCAUUGUUUUCAUAGAAACGUUUUAUCCAUUUGUAGAUAGUUUUUAUAUCGUUCGGUCCUUAUAACAAAUUAUUGUGUAACGAUAAUGUAACAAACCUUUAAGUUAUUUUUUUAAAUGUAUGCAACAACAUGUAUAUCAUACGGAUAGAAUGUUAAAAAGGCAUCGGGAAAUUAAAAAAGUACACAAAUACGGUUUCCAAAGUAUAAUGAACAAAUAGGAAAUUCGUGAUGUGCCUAAAUAAGAAUACUAUAGUUUUCUUUUUUUAAGUUUGUUAUUACGUUGAAAUAUAUUACCAUCCUCUUAGCUCGUGUGAUUUUGAGUUCAUCCAUCAGCUUAGAUAAAUGUCAUUCAUUCAAUCAAUAACAACCCCUAAAUCAUCCUAUAGUAGUAAGUUCAUUUAAGGAAAUAUACGGAUUUUACGCACAAAUUAACUACCCUGUACGAUAAAUUAUUCAAAAUUGUUAUCUAUUCAUGUGUUUACAGUUGUGCAUACCUUACAUUUAUUGCUUAAUGGUGAAAGAGACAUGAUUCAUUUUUCAUUUUUCCAAGAAAAAUCAUAUUUUACCGACCAACAGAAAUUUUUCUGGGUGAAUAAAUAUUUAUAUAUCCCAAACAUUUUUGAAUAACUUGUUUAUUGUAACAAACUCCAUUGGAUAACUAGAAUUCUGUUUAGCGGAAUCGUCGUGAAUGUCCUUCUUUCUAUGUUUAUUUCCUAUCUCUCUGUUAAAUCAUAUAUAGUUGGCUUCUAAAGGGAUGGUAUAUUAAUUUUUUCGGGAAAUAAGACGUUUUGUUCGCCCUAUCAUGUGACUGUUUAAACCAAUCAGAUGGCACAUUACAAUUAAGUAUUAUAAUGUGAUAUGAUUGUUUGUAUUGUGCACUUAAAUUUCAGCCCU